UAGGGUUGAGCAGACAACAGUAUGAUCAUUGAUGAGCUUAUUACAACAGACCCAGUUAGGGACUCCACUGCUCAGACUCCUCCUCCAAUGUAUGCUGCUAACUUUGCUGGUACUAUGCUAACCGAGAGCCCUAUUUCUAAUUCCAAACUCUGCAUGCUUACCCAUAUUAAUUCUGUCACCUGGAUCAUAGAUUUAGGUGCUUCUAAUCAUAUGACACAUGAUAAACAUCUACUCUUUAACAUCACACCUUUAACUGUGCCCUAUCUUGUCACCCUUCCUAAUGGCUAUAAAGUGAAAAUGUCAUGCACAGGUUCUUUGCACUAACUCCAUUCAUUACCCUUCAUAAUGUGUUGCUGGUUCCUUCCUUUAAACACAACUUGAUUUCUGUCCACAAGUUAGUGAAACAAUUUGAAAUUUCCUGUUAUUUCACGAUGUACUGCUAGUUCCCUCUUUUAAACACAACUUGAUUUAUGUCCACAAGUUAGUGAAGCAGUUGUAUUGUAUAGUUUUGUGCAUUGAACAUUCAUGCUUACUGCACAUGAUACAGGACCCUUCUCUGAGGAGGCCUCUGGAUCUUGGUAGGGAAGCUGCUGGCUUAUAUAAACUGGCUUGGAUUCCACCUUCCCCUUCUUUCUCUAUUGGUUGUUCAUCUACUUCUGUAUGCUCUGUGUCUGCUUCUCGUAAUGAUGACAUUUUGUCUGAUAACAAGGCUGUUACCUUGCCCUCAAAUGUACAUGGUUCCAUCUGUAAUAAUGUUGUUACAACUGACAUGAAUUACAUUUGGCAUUUAAGGCUUGNN
rnacentral:lncRNA from 1 species